UGGAAGCCCACUCGGUCAGCAGCUGG
rnacentral:piRNA from 1 species